rnacentral:rRNA from 1 species
UACAGAGACCUCAAGCGUUAUCCGGAAUCAUUGGGCGUAAAGCGUACCGAUAGGUGGCUUUACAAGUCAGAUGUGAAAUCUCAAGGCUCAACUUUGAGACUGUCUUUUGAAACUGUAAAGCUAGAGGGGCAAAGAGGAAGCUGGAACGAACGGUGUAGUAGUGAAAUGCGUUGAUAUCGUUCGGAACACCAAUAGCGUAGGCAGGCUUCUGGGUGCCACCUGACACUGCUAGGACGAAAGCGUGGGGAGCGAAUGGG